rnacentral:rRNA from 1 species
UGGGCUGUUCGCCCAUUAAAGCGGUACGCGAGCUGGGUUUAGAACGUCGUGAGACAGUUCGGUCCCUAUCCGCUGCGCGCGUAGGAGACUUGAGGGGAGCUGUCCUUAGUACGAGAGGACCGGGACGGACGAACCUCUGGUGUGCCAGUUGUCCUGCCAAGGGCACGGCUGGUUAGCUACGUUCGGACGGGAUAACCGCUGAAGGCAUCUAAGCGGGAAGCCCACCCCAAGAUGAGGUCUCCCACCGGGUCAACCGGGUAAGGCCCCCAGCUAGACGACUGGGUUGAUAGGCCGGAAGUGGAAGCAUGGCAACGUGUGAAGCUGACCGGUACUAAUAGGCCGAGGACUUGACCACAUACCU